CCUACGGGCGGCAGCAGUGGGGAAUAUUGCACAAUGGGGGAAACCCUGAUGCAGCGACGCCGCGUGAGUGAAGAAGGAGUUCGGUAGGUAAAGCUCUAGCAGCAGGGAAGAAAAGGACGGUACCUGAGGAAGAAGCCACGGCUAACUACGUGCCAGCAGCCGCGGUAAUACGUAGGGGGCAAGCGUUAUCCGGAUUUACUGGGUGUAAAGGGAGCGUAGACGGCAGCACAAGUCUGGAGUGAAAUGCCGGGGCUUAACCCCGGAACUGCUUUGGAAACUGUGCAGCUAGAGUGCAGGAGAGGUCAGUGGACUUCCUCGUGUAGCGGUGACAUUCGUCGAUAUUUGG
rnacentral:rRNA from 1 species